AUACAAUUCUAUUUUUCGCGUCGUGUCACGAUGAAUACGAGCUUUAAUAGAGCAGAAUCGGCGAACGCUCGUUAUCUCGAAUGUGCACCAGCUGUGCGCGCCCGAUUCGAUUAUUUCCUACGAACCACAAAGACAAGCCCGAGGAUGCUCCAUAACCGCACGUCGAGAGCUAAUCGAUCGUACGACAUUCAUCUGACACGAAUCCCACGAUCUUUGGAUCUUUGGAGCGCAAAGUUUAGUGGGCAACUGCAAUCAAUGACGCUCGAGGAUAAUACAUCUGCGAUUAGAAUAAAUGUUGAUGUAAAAAUGCAACUACAAUCCGUUAUGUCGGCGAUCCCUGCAGAUUACUGAUGAAACUCUUUUGAGAAGAAAAGGCAGCUAAAUUUAGCGACGAAAAAAGUUGAGCAAGGAGAUCCUCUCAAAAGAAUGAAGAAAAGAACAGGAAUGGAAAGAGAGGAAGAAGAAAGAGAAAAAUAAGCGAAGAGAAAGGUGAAGGAGAAAAGAGGGAGAAAUCAAGGAGUAUGGUUACACUAUUUGUGUCUAAGGAGAAACAUGGGCGCAGAGAUUUAGGGGCACCACCUUUUGACAUG